CCUACGGGAGGCAGCAGUGAGGAAUAUUGGUCAAUGGACGAGAGUCUGAACCAGCCAAGUAGCGUGAAGGAUGACUGCCCUAUGGGUUGUAAACUUCUUUUAUAAGGGAAUAAAACGCGGCACGUGUGCCUUUUUGCAUGUACCUUAUGAAUAAGGAUCGGCUAACUCCGUGCCAGCAGCCGCGGUAAUACGGAGGAUCCGAGCGUUAUCCGGAUUUAUUGGGUUUAAAGGGAGCGUAGAUGGGUUGUUAAGUCAGUUGUGAAAGUUUGCGGCUCAACCGUAAAAUUGCAAUUGAUACUGGUAGUCUUGAGUACAGGAGAGGUAGGCGGAAUUCGUGGUGUAGCGGUGAAAUGCGUAGAUAUCACGAAGAACCCCGAUUGCGAAGGCAGCUUACUAAACUGUGACUGACAUUGAUGCUCGAAAGUGUGGGUAUCAAACAGGAUUAGAUACCCUGGUAGUC
rnacentral:rRNA from 1 species